GAUAUGAUUCUAAUUGGUUGGAACAUCUUUUGAAAUCGUGUUUCUGUAGAGAAAAAAAAUUACUAUAUUUGGAUAGCCCUGGCAAGCUUUCAAGGCUCCUAAAUCUGAGUCUUCAGUGAACUAGACAGAAAAAAAAAAAAUGAAGAAGCUACUAGCAGUGAUUCUGUGGCUUCAACUAGACCGUGAGCUGGGGGUUCAUUGAAAAGGGAGCCAUGGGAGGAAAGGACUUGUCCAUACAAUGUUUGGGGGUAGAGACAAGAUUCAAUGCAACUCGUUUGGGUUCCCUGGGGAGGAACAGGAUUAUUGGGGUAACCAGCGAAUGUCUCCUUCUGAAAUGUUCUCUUUGGACAGGGUUAAGUGGAGAGCUGAAAGUGGGACAAAACCCUCUGUUCCUGAGCACGCAGGAGGGAAAAAACUAUACCAUCUACUGCAAUUAUUCAACCGCUUCAGACAGACUGUAUUGGUACAGGCAGGAUCCUGGGAAAAGUCUGGAAUCUCUGUUUGUGUUGCUGUCAAAUGGAGCAGUGAAGCAGGAGGGACGAUUCAUGGCCUCACUUGAUACCAAAGCCCGUCUCAGCACCCUGCAUAUCACAGCCGCCCUGCAAGACCUCUCUGCCACCUACUUCUGUGCCGUGAACACACAGUGCUUGCCUGACGCCGCUAGUCUGUACCCAAACCUGCAGCUGGUGGGCCCACUCCUGCUGCAGGAACUAUGACUGCGAGGCUUCCUUCACUGGCUGCGCAUUUCUUUCUGCAAGGAAAAUUCUGAAAUGGGUGAAAAAAGAUGCUGUUUUAUUUUCUUAACUGUGGAACAUUUUUAAAAAGGAAAAUGUAUUCAAACUGAGGGUAGAAUCCUAAACAUGUAUUUCCUGAGACUAUGAGGUCUCAUCCUUUACUGCCUCACAGUCAGAAUUUGUUAGUCUUCCAUUACGGAAUGAUUGUACAUGUAGUGCAACCGUCACAAAUAAUUCCUAUGAAAUAUGGAAUUAUUAUUUGU